rnacentral:rRNA from 1 species
GACGAACGCUGGCGGCGUGCUUAACACAUGCAAGUCGAACGGUGAAGCGCCUUCCUUUUUGGUGGGUGUGGAUGAGUGGCGAACGGGUGAGUAACACGUGAGUAACCUGCCCCCUUCUUCUGGAUAACCGCAUGAAAGUGUGGCUAAUACGGGAUAUUCUGGGUCUGUCGCAUGAUGGGUCUGGGAAAGAUAUUGUUUCGGUGGGGGAUGGGCUCGCGGCCUAUCAGCUUGUUGGGGGGGUGAUGGCCUACCAAGGCGGGGACGGGUAGCCGGCCUGAGAGGGUGGACGGUCACACUGGGACGGAGACACGGCCCAGACUCCUACGGGAGGCAGCAGUGGGGAAUAUGGCACAAUGGGCGCAAGCCUGAUGCAGCGACGCCGCGUGAGGGAUGGAGGCCUUCGGGUUGUGAACCUCUUUCGCCAGUGAAGCAGGCCUGCCUCGUUUGUGGGUGGGUUGACGGUAGCUGGAUAAGAAGCGCCGGCUAACUACGUG